UCUCAAAGGUUUUUGGAAACUCUGAAGAAAAUAAGCAGAUUACACGUAAAUGGAGUAGCUUUUCACUCUUGUUUGAAGUAUCCUACUUGAAUUUGAGAUUGGAAAAGUUAAGAUGCUCAUACUAAAAGAAGUGAUACAUAUGCUUCAAAUCUCUUUGAUAUAUAGAGACAUGGACACCAACUAACUGUGGUGUGAAGACUCCUUUGAAAAUUGGACUUCCACAGUAGAGCUUAACGGGUAAAAGCAUGCAUUUAGGAGUAAGCAGGGGGCCUGAACUUUGGUGUUAUCAGUAACCAGCUAUGUAACCAUGGGUCAAGGCUAUUGCACAAACACAGUCAGACUUCAUUAGAACAAGCAUGGAAAUCUGAGAUGUAACAUGUGCAUCAGGCACUCACAUGGCACAGCCUGGCAGCUGUCCCUGAGGACAUCAAAUACAGCUCAGAGUGAAAGGUUACUCAGCUUCUCAAACUCAGCCAUAGACCAUGAGAAGUUCUCAGGAAGAUAAAGGCCAAUCUGAAAGAUGAAAAGGUAUCAGAGGCAUGCAGGCACAGAGAAAAAGCCAUUUGAGGCCAUCCUCAAGAAGAAGCCAUCUGUAAGCCACAGAGUGGGGCCUUAGGAGAAGCCAAGCUGUCAGCACCUUGAUCUUGGACUUCCAGCCUCUAGAACUGUGAGAAAUAAAUUCCUAUUGUUUAAACCA